rnacentral:rRNA from 1 species
AGAGUUUGAUCCUGGCUCAGAUUGAACGCUGGCGGAAUGCUUUACACAUGCAAGUCGAACGGCAGCACGGGGCAACCUGGUGGCGAGUGGCGAACGGGUGAGUAAUACAUCGGAACGUGCCCAAUCGUGGGGAUAACGUAGCGAAAGUUACGCUAAUACCGCAUACGAUCUACGGAUGAAAGCGGGGGAUCGCAAGACCUCGCGCGAAUGGAGCGGCUGAUGUCAGAUUAGGUAGUUGGUGGGGUAAAGGCUCACCAAGCCAACGAUCUGUAGCUGGUCUGAGAGGACGACCAGCCACACUGGAACUGAGACACGGUCCAGACUCCUACGGGAGGCAGCAGUGGGGAAUUUUGGACAAUGGGCGCAAGCCUGAUCCAGCCAUUCCGCGUGCAGGAUGAAGGCCUUCGGGUUGUAAACUGCUUUUGUACGGAACGAAAAGGUCCUGGUUAAUACCUGGGGCUCAUGACGGUACCGUAAGAAUAAGCACCGGCUAACUACGUG